ACGUAAAGCCAGCGUGGUGACGUCACCACGUCAAUGUCCGCUCCACUGUCACUGGCGCUGCAGCUGCGUCGCCUCCUCGCUCGCAGAGAAUCAGCGGCGGCCGCAGAGGAAGAGUCUGCCCAUGAGUGUGACUCUGGUAGCGCUGCGCCUUGAGCUCAGCCCGGACUCAAACUUCCCCUCCCACUUCCAUCGCUGCCACUGUAAGUACAGUGUGUACAGUAGGCACAGUGUGUACAAUAGACACAGCGUAUACAGUGCAUACAGUGGGCACAGUGUGUACAGUAGGCACAAUGUGUACAGUGUAAAAUAGUGUGUACAGUAUACACUGUGUACAUUGGGCGCAGUGUGUACAGUAGGUACAGUGUAAAAAUGGUGUAUACAGUAUACACCGUGAACACUACAUUGUGCACAACGUGUACACACUGUACUGUACAC